rnacentral:rRNA from 1 species
AUUGAACGCUGGCGGCAGGCCUAACACAUGCAAGUCGAGCGGAUGAAGGGAGCUUGCUCCUGGAUUCAGCGGCGGACGGGUGAGUAAUGCCUAGGAAUCUGCCUGGUAGUGGGGGAUAACGUCCGGAAACGGGCGCUAAUACCGCAUACGUCCUGAGGGAGAAAGUGGGGGAUCUUCGGACCUCACGCUAUCAGAUGAGCCUAGGUCGGAUUAGCUAGUUGGUGGGGUAAAGGCCUACCAAGGCGACGAUCCGUAACUGGUCUGAGAGGAUGAUCAGUCACUCUGGAACUGAGACACGGUCCAGACUCCUACGGGAGGCAGCAGUGGGGAAUAUUGGACAAUGGGCGAAAGCCUGAUCCAGCCAUGCCGCGUGUGUGAAGAAGGUCUUCGGAUUGUAAAGCACUUUAAGUUGGGAGGAAGGGCAGUAAGUUAAUACCUUGCUGUUUUGACGUUACCAACAGAAUAAGCACCGGCUAACGUCG